rnacentral:rRNA from 1 species
GCCCGAACGUCCGUGUCGGAACCCGCCAAGGGCCGAAGCGGCCGAAGGCGAGCAUCAUGACUGGGGCG